ACGUUUCUUUUUCUAUUUUCCAUUCCAGUCUUUUUAUUUUCCCUUCGUUUCAUUUUCAAUUGAUCGGUUUCGGCUUCUCAAUAGACAAAUAGGGGGCCGCGCACACACACCAGACAAAAGGGAAACAAAUCGAAGAAGAAAGAUGGCAGGAACGGCGGCAAGAGGGAGGCUCGCAGAGUCUGCUCUGGAAUUUCAGAUUCGAAAACGGGUCUCAUGCCAACGUGAGCAGCGACCAAGGCAAACCAGCGACUGCGACGUCCUUAUCUGAUGAAGCUCUGCGACCACAUCAACAAGCUCCGAUGUCAACCACUCCCCAGAGGCAAAUGCCAAUACUUCCGAUGACACAAAACCUUUAGUUUUUACGGAGGAUGUUUACGUUUGUUAUCCCUUAUAGCUUAACAUCUUGAGACAGGCUACUGUAAGUUUUAGUUCUUUCUACUUCACCAAUCUCUAUUAUAGAUGAAGUAAAUUUAGUGUUCAUGAUAUAUGAUCUACGUUUGUGUUCAUAUUUGUAUUAAUAAUACACAUUUGAGACUUGAUAUAAAAAAAUUCUGGACUGUUACUUUAGUAGAAUUUCUGAUCUUGCCUUUUCUUACUUUAGCAUAAUUUCUGGACUGGCAGCCCCCUAUUUUGUCUUCUAUGAUAGAAUCAAUGAGGUAAUUGGUUAAGGCUUAUCUUGAUUAUGCUGCUUUUGUGAAUUAAUAAAACUUUUAUGGAUAGUGGGCUACUAAAACUGCUUGCUUACAAAACGAAAGUUGACAUUUACUUAUAGUAGAAUGAAUUUGGAAGGCAUGAAACACAUUUUAGCUUUACAUUUGUCCAUGUAAGUUGCUGAUCACCAAGGAAUGAAGAUGGUUUCUGCUUCCAAGCCCGAAUUUUUUCUGCAACCUUGCGGUAAUAAUAUUUUCUAUUUAGUUAGCAUUCUCCGUGUAAUCCGAUUGUAUCAUUAACCAUGUGUGAAGAUCAUUUUCCUGGGAACAAUGAUGCAGAAAUUAAUACAGAUUACAUAUGUUCCAAACAUUGUUUUGAGUUGUAACUUUUACUUUUAUAUAAUAUUUGAAGUUGUUACUCUAAUAAGCUGUCUACAUGUGAUUGCAGAUCUUUUAGAAAGCUAUCUCAUCUUCAAAUGCUUACAAUGAUCAAUUCAGGUACUAUCAAUAUAUUUUACUAACACUGAAAUUCCUUCUUUUGCAGACUUGAAAAGUUGUAUAGUUGACAGUGGACUGAACAGUCAACUCAUCCUGACAUGACCACGGGUCAUGGUUGUCUAUCUGUAGUGUGUAUUUGUCUUUAAAUGAAGAGCCAUUAUCAACUCGGAUAGGGUUUCUGAUAAAUUCUAACCACCUGUCUUCAAUGUUCAGAUGCUUACAAGAAAAACUUCUCUAGGUUUUGGCUUUCUUUGUGCAAUUUUUAUCAUGUGGGUAUUACAAGUAGAGUAUUAGUAAAAUACUUCCUUGAUCAGGGAAUCGCCGGGAUUGUACUGCAUGUGGGUUUGCAUCAUGUUUAGAACUGUCUGACGGUUAUAGCAACCUUCACCAUGCAUUCGGAUAGAGUUUUUCGUGGUUGCUUCUAAUGUGCUGGAUAAAGGUUUGGCUUUCGAUCCAACCCUCAAUAAGAUUGCCAGAAAUGAGGAGGACCUAGAAAUGGAGAAUGAAGAACUAGGAAUCAAGAAAUAAACAUCAUAGGACCUGUUUAUCAAGAUGCACCACCCGACCCAGAGAAAACUAGGCUGGAGGAAGCAGUGACACAUGCACAAGCUGCUUUCAGAGGUUACUUGGUAGGUGUUUAUUCUUUGGAAGGGGGUUUCCUGAUUAAACAGUUAAUUUUCAUGGAGGAACAUACAUGUUCAUGCGAGGAGAAACCAGAAUGCUGCUAAUUGUAAGAAGGGAAUGGUGGUAGGAGGGUCUAACAUAAUGUUAUCGUUGCAGCAAGGUAUUGGAGAAAACAAGUGUACUGUACGUAGAGUAUCAUAACGUAAUUCUGGGAGUAUAUUGGUGGCUUAGAUUAGGAGGGCAGUGUGUGUUUCAGCUGUGAUUGUUAACUUUUAUUUCUGCAAUAUUUUUAGGCUUAAAUACUCUUUUGGUCCUUGAAAUUGUAAAGGGAAUCAAAUCUGAUCCCUGUAAAAAUUUCACAUCAAAUUGGGUCCCUAAAAUUAUUUUUUUAAUCUAAUUAAGUCUUUUUGCUCAAUUUUGACUAGUCAACGUCCAGUGCCAAGCCUAGUCAGCUAAGCAUGGCCACAUGGACUUUUUUCACAUCAAUUUUAGUCCCUUGAAAAAUAUUUUAAUCAAUUCUAGUCCUUGUUCUUUCACCUUCCUCUUCCACCUUCUUCCUCUUCCUCCAUAACUCAAAUCCUUAAAUCAAGAAAUUCAAAACCCUAAAAAAAUUAUAUGUUCAUCAUAUUCACCUUGUUCUUACUUUUGAAUUUAUGGGAUUUGAGUUAUGGAGGAAGAGGAAGAAGGUGGAAGAGGAAGAAGAUGAAGGUGGAAAAAUAAGGACUAAAAUUGAUUAAAAUACUUUUCAAGGGACUAAAACUGAUGUGAAAAAGUCCACGUGGUCAUCUUUAGCUGACUAGGCUUGCCACUAGGCCGUUGACCGGUCAAAAUUGAGCAAAAGGAGUUAAUUAGAUUAAAAAAACAAUUUUAGGGACCCAAUUUGAUGCGAAAAUUUUACAAGUACCAGAUUUGAUUCCCUUUACGGUUUCAAGGACCAAAAGGUUAUUUAAGCCAUAUUUUUAUUUAGUAUCUGUGCUUUUGUUUAAGAAGUAGUAUUUUUGCCUUCCAAAGGGGACCUCCUUGACUUCUAUACUAUUUUCAGUAAGUACUACUUACAGUUCCUUUCAGAA